UAAUUACUGUUGUACGUCGAUAAUUAGGACAAACCCUAAUUAUUAUAACCCUAACCGGUUGAAGUUAGAAACCGUAACGACUGUGUUAGUAAUAUACACAGAUAAUUAGAGAACCCUAAUGGUCAAUUAGAAACCCUAAUUGAUGACGUUAAGAAACCCUAAUUAUAGAACCCUAAAUUUUUAAUCGAAAACCCUAAUUUCAAUUACCGGGUUUAAUUUCGAUGUUAUUGUAUAAGUGUUUUAAUUUACCAAAGGAUAGAAGUUAAUUGGUAAAUU
rnacentral:lncRNA from 1 species